UAAUAUCUGUAAUAGCCUCUCCGAUGGCUUGCUUCUCCAUUUCUGAUAAUAUGCCUUUAAAAACAAUGUCCUUUAGGGUUCAGUGGACCAUGAAAUAGUCUCUGCUGAAGUAACCCUGGUGCCAGCACUGAGACAAACAUUCAUUUUGGCUGUCAGCUAAAAGAACUUGGAAGAAAUGAAGCACAUUUAUUAUGUACUGAUAUAUUCUGACUAGAUAAUCCUUUUUAGUUGGAGGCACUAUAAAAGCAAGUGCAGAUUACUGUUGGCAAAAUAGUAAAAAAUAAAAUUCAGUUGAGCUGCAAAAGUUUUGCCUCCAAUUUCACAGGUGAUCACCUCUCUAGCAUCAAGACAGUGACAGGGAGACCUGAUUUGCAGCCUGAUUUGCUGCAAUCCAAGUCCACUCUCAGGAGACAUAAGGAAAGUGAAUCUCCACCUUUUCCCAGAUGCUAAAGAAUAAAUGUAAGAAUGAGGAAGAGAAUAGCACUGCCUCUUUCAUCAAAUCACAGAAAGUACCUCCCAACCCAGGUGAUGGGUAAGAAUACAUCACAACUAAGUGAAAAAUCACUUUCCCCAGGAAGUUUAUAAAAUGAUCAAUGGUAAUCAAAACUUUGAAGAGACAAAGGACUUGCUGCUUGUCAGUCACUUUGCAUCAAAUAUUAUUCAUGACAUGUCUCGUGCCAGUCUUAUUCUUGCUACUGUGGAGGUAAAGUUAUAAUUAUUAAAAAUUUCAGCAUUUUAAAUUAUUUUUUGUGAAACAUUAUGAGUAUAUAUCUACGUAUAUGUAUAUUUAAAAUAAUUUUCUGCCAAACAUUAGUAGACUAUCUAAAUGUAAAGAUAAGUAGGUAUAUUUUCAGCUCUUAGUUAUAGCCCUAAAUUCUGUUUUCUCUUGUUGAUUCUCUUUUAAUAGGGAUGCUUGAACAUAUGGCUUUGGGCUCUAUAUCUCUAAACUUUUCUAUUACAUCUUAUAUCUCUUUUACUUAUUGUUGAACCUUCAGGAGAAUUUUACAUUUUAAAUUGAAGGUCACUUACAUGUGCAUUAUCUUUUCUAGACAUUCUAUUGAAGUAGAAUAGAAAUUGUGUUUUAACAUAAUUAUUUCU